UAGAUCGCAUGAUCAGCUUUUAAAAAGGCGGCGUAAGCUGUCGCUAUGGGAUGGCCCGCGGUGCAUUAGCUAGUUGGUAAGGUAAAGGCUUACCAAGGCGAUGAUGCAUAGCCCGAGUUGAGAGACUGAUCGGGCCACAUUGGGGACUGAGACACGGGGCCCAAACUCCUACGGGGGGAGGGGCAGCAGUAGGGGGAAUCUUCCACAAUGGACGCAAGUCUGAUGGAGCAACGCCGCGUGAGUGAAGAAGGUUUUCGGAUCGUAAAGCUCUGUUGUUGGUGAAGAAGGAUAGAGGUAGUAACUGGCCUUUAUUUGACGGUAAUCAACCAGAAAGUCACGGCUAACUACGUGCCAGCAGCCGCGGUAAU
rnacentral:rRNA from 1 species